GUCAUCACUCUAGAGAAUUCUUUAUAACACAACAAUGACACCCAUCCUCAUAGCCUUCUGGACUUUUGCCUUCUGCUUUAGAGAGUCCUAUGGACAGGUCACUGUGACUCAGACUCCUGCAGUGAAAGCUGUUCAACAGGGAGGAUCAGUCACUCUGAACUGUAAAACCAGCAGUGAUGUGUAUGAUGCAGGGACAUCUAAUUCUAAUUAUCCUCGAUUAGCCUGGUACCAACAGAAACCUGGAGCAGCUCCUAAACUCCUGAUCUAUAAUGCCAAAACACUUCAGUCUGGGACUCCAUCCAGAUUCAGUGGCAGUGGAACUCACAGUGACUUCACUCUGACCAUCAGUAAUGUCCAGACUGAGGAUGCAGGAGUUUACUACUGUCAGAGUUACCAUAGUGGCCCAGUGUGGACUUUUGGUGGAGGCACUAGACUCGAGAUUGGAGGUGACACCCGUCCCAAACUCACAGUCCUGCCCCCCCUGCACACCAGCGGGACUUCAGCCACGGUGAUGUGCCUGGCUAACGGAGGCUUCCCGUCCGACUGGGCGCUUGAGCUGGAAGGUGUGAGGGGAGCAGCAGGAGCAGGGGACACCAGUGUCUUUGGCCCACAGAAGGACGGCCUGUACAGCUGGAGCAGCACCUGA